AUUGAACGCUGGCGGCAGGCCUAACACAUGCAAGUCGAGCGGAUGAAGGGAGCUUGCUCCUGGAUUCAGCGGCGGACGGGUGAGUAAUGCCUAGGAAUCUGCCUGGUAGUGGGGGAUAACGUCCGGAAUCGGGCGCUAAUACCGCAUACGUCCUGAGGGAGAAAGUGGGGGAUCUUCGGACCUCACGCUAUCAGAUGAGCCUAGGUCGGAUUAGCUAGUUGGUGGGGUAAAGGCCUACCAAGGCGACGAUCCGUAACUGGUCUGAGAGGAUGAUCAGUCACACUGGAACUGAGACACGGUCCAGACUCCUACGGGAGGCAGCAGUGGGGAAUAUUGGACAAUGGGCGAAAGCCUGAUCCAGCCAUGCCGCGUGUGUGAAGAAGGUCUUCGGAUUGUAAAGCACUUUAAGUUGGGAGGAAGGGCAGUAAGUUAAUACCUUGCUCUUUUGACGUUACCAACAGAAUAAGCACCGGCUAACUUCGUG
rnacentral:rRNA from 1 species